GGGCCGUAGUGCGGCAGACCCGGACCCCUUCCCCAUCUUGCUCCUCCUGUCGGCGUCCUCAGGAGUCGCCAGGGUUGGGUGGAGCCCACCCUCCCAAUCCCCCACCUCAAUGCAUACUUCCCGGUCGAGUCCACCUCGACUCUGAAAUAUAGUAAGUACUCGGACAGGCGAUAUAUUCACGUGCCUCAAGUUACAAAGGACGUCCGCAAAUUGAGGAUUGCACUUUGCCUUGUUUCCCACCAUAUCCCCAGUUCCUAGAACAAGACCUAGCAUACGAUGAGGAAACUGAGUCUCAAAGAGGCCA